rnacentral:misc_RNA from 2 species
AGCAGCCGCGGUAAUUCCAGCUCCAAUAGCGUAUAUUAAAGUUGUUGCAGUUAAAAAGCUCGUAGUUGAAUUUCGGGAUUGACGUGAUGGUCGUGCCUUAAGGGGUAUGAACUGUCGCUGUUGAUUUCUCACCUUCUGGAGAAACUUGAUGUCCUUAAUUGGGUGUCUUGCGGAUCCAGGACCUUUACCUUGAAAAAUUAGAGUGUUUAAAGCAGGCAUUUUUGCUCGAAUACAUUAGCAUGGAAUAAUAGAAUAGGACGGCAUGGUUCUAUUUUGUUGGUUUCUAGGAUCACCGUAAUGAUUAAUAGGGAUAGUUGGGGGCAUUAGUAUUCAAUUGUCAGAGGUGAAAUUCUUGGAUUUAUUGAAGACUAACUACUGCGAAAGCAUUUGCCAAGGAUGUUUUCAUUAAUCAAGAACGAAAGUUAGGGGAUCGAAGACGAUCAGAUACCGUCGUAGUCUUAACCAUAAACUAUGCCGACUAGGAAUCAGACGAUGUUAAUUUUUAAUGACUCGUUU